UGUGUUCCUUGUCCGUUGCCUAUCACCUGAAUCAAAGAGAC
rnacentral:sRNA from 1 species